rnacentral:rRNA from 1 species
CAGCAGCCGCGGGAAUACGGAGGGUGCAAGCGUUAAUCGGAAUUAUUGGGCGUAAAGCGUGCGUAGGUGGUGGUUUAAGUCCGUUGUGAAAGCCCUGGGCUCAACCUGGGAAUUGCAGUGGAUACUGGGUCACUAGAGUGUGGUAGAGGAUAGUGGAAUUUCCGGUGUAGCAGUGAAAUGCGUAGAGAUCGGAAGGAACAUCUGUGGCGAAGGCGACUAUCUGGGCCAACACCGACACUGAGGCACGAAAGCGUGGGGAGCAAACAGGAUUAGAUACCCGUGUAGUCCCUGUCUCUUAUAC